rnacentral:rRNA from 1 species
AAUAGAUACCCUGGUAGUCCACGCCGUAAACGAUGAGUGCUAAGUGUUAGAGGGUUUCCGCCCUUUAGUGCUGCAGCUAACGCAUUAAGCACUCCGCCUGGGGAGUACGGCCGCAAGGCUGAAACUCAAAGGAAUUGACGGGGGCCCGCACAAGCGGUGGAGCAUGUGGUUUAAUUCGAAGCAACGCGAAGAACCUUACCAGGUCUUGACAUCCUCUGCCAACCCUAGAGAUAGGGCGUUCCCCUUCGGGGGACAGAGUGACGGGUGGUGCAUGGUCGUCGUCAGCUCGUGUCGUGAGAUGUUGGGUUAAGUCCCGCAACGAGCGCAACCCUUGAUCUUAGUUGCCAGCAUUCAGUUGGGCACUCUAAGGUGACUGCCGGUGACAAACCGGAGGAAGGUGGGGAUGACGUCAAAUCAUCAUGCCCCUUAUGACCUGGGCUACACACGUGCUACAAUGGAUGGUACAAAGAGCUGCGAACCCGCGAGGGUAAGCGAAUCUCAUAAAGCCAUUCUCAGUUCGGA